AGAACGAACGCUGGCGGCAGGCUUAACACAUGCAAGUCGAACGCUCCGCAAGGGGAGUGGCAGACGGGUGAGUAACGCGUGGGAAUCUACCCAAUACUACGGAAUAGCUCCGGGAAACUGGAAUUAAUACCGUAUGUGCCCUACGGGGGAAAGAUUUAUCGGUAUUGGAUGAGCCCGCGUUGGAUUAGCUAGUUGGUGAGGUAACGGCCCACCAAGGCGACGAUCCAUAGCUGGUCUGAGAGGAUGAUCAGCCACACUGGGACUGAGACACGGCCCAGACUCCUACGGGAGGCAGCAGUGGGGAAUAUUGGACAAUGGGCGCAAGCCUGAUCCAGCCAUGCCGCGUGAGUGAUGAAGGCCUUAGGGUUGUAAAGCUCUUUCAGUGGGGAAGAUAAUGACGGUACCACAGAAGAACGCCCCGGCUAACGUUCGUGCCAGCAGCCGC
rnacentral:rRNA from 1 species